UACCUUCUUAUUUUGUUCGUACUUGUUCCGUUCUUCUCGUUGAUACUGAACUGUAAAGACAGGCUUUGGUCCACGUAAUUCACGUAGCUCUGAGCAAAUUCGCUCAUGAAUACUAAACCAGUCUUCUUUCUGAUGAUCCUCGUUACUGAUGGGCGAAAAUUGUAACACAUUAGCUAAAGAAAUUUUCUUCAUCUUCGUGACCCGAGGGGUGCACCUGGCCCGCCAAAUACUAAACAAAAAUAAAUAAAAGAUAUACGAAGUAGAAGCAAAACUUGAAAUUGAACCAUAAUCCAUUUAACUCCUAUAAACGAUAUGAGAAAGAGCAAUACAUACAAGAGAAAUUGCAAGUAAGUGAAAUUGUUGUACUAGCAUUUACUUUGAAUUUAGCUAACAGAAAAGCAGGAAUAAAG